AAUAAACUAAAUAAAAUUACAUUUAAAUCCACCUUCAAUAAAAUUUUUCAAUUUUAUAUUCAUUUAAAUAAAUUUAUUGUAAUCCAUUAUAUACUUAAUUACAAUCUACAUCUUGAUCUGAAUUAAUUUUUCAUUUUAAUUUUUAAAUAUUAUAAAUUAAUUAAAAAUAUUUUUUUAACAACGAUAUAUAAAAUUUCAAAUUAAGUAAAUUUAUUCGUGGAUUAUCAAUUAUUAAACAGAUUCCUCUAAAUGAACUAAAAUACCGCCAUAUUAUUUAAGUUUCAAUAAAUAUUUAUUUACUAUUUUAGUUUUAUAAUUUAAAUUUUUAAUAAUAGGGUAUCUAAU
rnacentral:rRNA from 1 species